UGCAGUCGAACGGCAGCACAGUAGAGCUUGCUCUAUGGGUGGCGAGUGGCGGACGGGUGAGUAAUGCAUCGGGAUCUACCCAAACGUGGGGGAUAACGUAGGGAAACUUACGCUAAUACCGCAUACGUCUUACGAGAGAAAGCAGGGGACCUUCGGGCCUUGCGCGGUUGGACGAACCGAUGUGCGAUUAGCUAGUUGGUAGGGUAAUGGCCUACCAAGGCGACGAUCGCUAGCUGGUCUGAGAGGAUGAUCAGCCACACUGGAACUGAGACACGGUCCAGACUCCUACGGGAGGCAGCAGUGGGGAAUAUUGGACAAUGGGCGCAAGCCUGAUCCAGCAAUGCCGCGUGUGUG
rnacentral:rRNA from 1 species